GACGAACGCUGGCGGCGUGCUUAACACAUGCAAGUCGAACGAAGUGGCGAACGGGUGAGUAAUACGUGGGUAACCUGCCCUCCUUUUUGGGCUAAGCCUUGGAAACGGGGUCUAAUACCGAAUAAAGGGGGAUGGGCUCGGGGCCUAUCAGCUUGUUGGUGGGGUGAUGGCCUAACAAGGCGGUGACGGGGAGCCGGCCUGAGAGGGUGACCGGGGACAUGGGGACGGUGAUACGGCCCACGGGCGGACGGGGGGAGGAAGUGGGGGUUAGGGCAGAAUGGGGGAAAGCGGAAUGCGGCGAGGCCGCGUGGGGGGUACGGGCUGUCGGGUUGUAAACCUGUUUCGCAAUCAAACGGGUAGGUGGAGAGGAAGCGCCGGCUAACUACGUGCCAGCAGCCGCGGUAAUUC
rnacentral:rRNA from 1 species